ensembl:lncRNA
GUAGCAUUUGCCAAGGGCCACAGCAACGGACUGACUUCAAGCUAGCAGCGGGCAGAGCUAUGCACAGAGGUCCUCCUGACCACCGUGGGGUCUCCUGAACUCUGUGCCAUCAUGCCACACCCUGCCUCUCCGAGACUACGUCCAGAUGUCCUGAUGGGAGCUGUGGGCUGUUCUCAGACUUCUUAGUAGCACAUUUACCAGGAGCUGACUCACCUGGUUUAACACCUUGCAACCCUCUAUGUGCACCUAUGUGAAGCUAAGCCUACAGCCAAGGGGUCUUCCGGAUGCACCUUUAUGUCCUGGCUCUGAGGUCUGUGUGGUUUGGGGCCACAGAUACACCCCUUUUCUCAUCCAUAAAACAGGACUCACUUCACAGAACCAUGGUAAGGAUAAAAUCAUCCAAAGGAUAAUUUUAUCGUCAUGCAAAGACCUUGGCAUAAACCAAGUGCUCACAUAGUGAGAGACAUUAAGGUACUGGAUCUGGCCCUUAAAAGGAUGACUCAGUGUAUUCAAAACCUCAUUCCAUGGAUUACAGCGUCAAAGUCUUUCUCAAAUACCCUAGUGUCCUCUGUUUUUUUUCCAGGUAUCAGUUAAGGAGAGGCCAGGAAGAUAAUGGUUGAGGCCAAACAAGGACAUGUGUGGGUGAAGCGUGACCAGAGGGGAGGGUGUGG